UAGGGAAUCUUCCACAAUGGACGCAAGUCUGAUGGAGCAACGCCGCGUGAGUGAAGAAGGUUUUCGGAUCGUAAAGCUCUGUUGUUGGUGAAGAUGGAUAGAGGCAGUAACUGGUCUUUAUUUGACGGUAAUCAACCAGAAAGUCACGGCUAACUACGUGCCAGCAGCCGCGGUAAUUCGUAGGUGGCAAGCGUUGUCCGGAUUUAUUGGGCGUAAAGCGAGCGCAGGCGGAAUGAUAAGUCUGAUGUGAAAGCCCACGGCACAACCGUGGAACUGCAUCGGAAAAGGUACUUCUUGAGUGCAGAAGAGGAGAGUGGAAUUCCAUGUGUAGCGGUGGAAUGCGUAGAUAUAUGGAAGAACACAAGUGGCGAAGGCGGGUCUCUGGUCUGCAACUGACGCUGAGGCUCGAAAGCAUGGGUAGCGAACAGG
rnacentral:rRNA from 1 species